rnacentral:rRNA from 1 species
AGCAGCCGCGGUAAUUCCAGCUCCAAUAGCGUAUACUAAAGUUGUUGCAGUUAAAAAGCUCGUAGUUGAAUUUCGGGAUUGGCGUAUCGGUCGUGCCUCACGGGGUAUGAACUGGUGCAGUCAAUUUCUCACCUUCUGGAGAACCGCGAUGUCCUUAAUUGGAUGCCGCGGGGAACCAGGACCUUUACUUUGAAAAAUUAGAGUGUUUAAAGCAGGCAUUUUUGCUUGAAUACAUUAGCAUGGAAUAAUAAAAUAGGACGGCAUGGUUCUAUUUUGUUGGUUUCUAGGACCACCGUAAUGAUUAAUAGGGAUAGUUGGGGGCAUUAGUAUUCAAUUGUCAGAGGUGAAAUUCUUGGAUUUAUUGAAGACUAACUACUGCGAAAGCAUUUGCCAAGGAUGUUUUCAUUAAUCAAGAACGAAAGUUAGGGGAUCGAAGACGAUCAGAUACCGUCGUAGUCUUAACCAUAAACUAUGCCGACUAGGAAUCAGACGAUGUUAAUUUUUAAUGU